AGCUCAAUCGGUAGAGCAGCUGAUUUGUAAUCAGCGGGUUGGGGGUUCAAUUCCUCUC
rnacentral:tRNA from 1 species